AGCAUAGUGUAGUGGUUUGAGCACUGGACUGUGACUCUGGAGACCAGGGUUCGAAUGCCAGCUGGGCUG